GCUUAUCACCAUUCCAGAUUGAAUAUACCCGAUCUCGUCUGAUCUCGGAAGUCAAGCAAUCUCGGGCUUGGUUAGUACUUGGAUGGGUGACCGCUUGGGAAUAUCAAGUGUGGUAAGCA
rfam:Ciona savignyi cont_36956, whole genome shotgun sequence.